rnacentral:rRNA from 1 species
GACGAACGCUGGCGGCGUGCUUAACACAUGCAAGUCGAACGAAGAGCGAUGGAAGCUUGCUUCUAUCAAUCUUAGUGGCGAACGGGUGAGUAACGCGUAAUCAACCUGCCCUUCAGAGGGGGACAACAGUUGGAAACGACUGCUAAUACCGCAUACGAUCUAAUCUCGGCAUCGAGGAUAGAUGAAAGGUGGCCUCUACAUGUAAGCUAUCACUGAAGGAGGGGAUUGCGUCUGAUUAGCUAGUUGGAGGGGUAACGGCCCACCAAGGCGAUGAUCAGUAGCCGGUCUGAGAGGAUGAACGGCCACAUUGGGACUGAGACACGGCCCAGACUCCUACGGGAGGCAGCAGUGGGGAAUCUUCCGCAACGGACGAAAGUCUGACGGAGCAACGCCGCGGGAGUGAUGACGGCCUUCGGGUUGUAAAGCUCUGUUAAUCGGGACGAAAGGCCUUCUUGCGAAUAGUGAGAAGGAUUGACGGUACCGGAAUAGAAAGCCACGGCUAACUACGUG